GAUGAACGCUGGCGGCGUGCCUAAUACAUGCAAGUCGAGCGAACAGAUAAGGAGCUUGCUCCUUUGACGUUAGCGGCGGACGGGUGAGUAACACGUGGGUAACCUACCUAUAAGACUGGAAUAACUCCGGGAAACCGGGGCUAAUGCCGGAUAACAUUUAGAACCGCAUGGUUCUAAAGUGAAAGAUGGUUUUGCUAUCACUUAUAGAUGGACCCGCGCCGUAUUAGCUAGUUGGUAAGGUAACGGCUUACCAAGGCAACGAUACGUAGCCGACCUGAGAGGGUGAUCGGCCACACUGGAACUGAGACACGGUCCAGACUCCUACGGGAGGCAGCAGUAGGGAAUCUUCCGCAAUGGGCGAAAGCCUGACGGAGCAACGCCGCGUGAGUGAUGAAGGUCUUCGGAUCGUAAAACUCUGUUAUUAGGGAAGAACAAAUGUGUAAGUAACUGUGCACGUCUUGACGGUACCUAAUCAGGAAGCCACGGCUAACUACGUG
rnacentral:rRNA from 1 species